rnacentral:rRNA from 1 species
UACGAAGGGGGCUAGCGUUGCUCGGAAUGACUGGGCGUAAAGGGCGCGUAGGCGGUUUGGACAGUCAGGCGUGAAAUUCCUGGGCUUAACCUGGGGGCUGCGCUUGAUACAUCCAGACUUGAGUGGGGAAGAGGGUCGUGGAAUUCCCAGUGUAGAGGUGAAAUUCGUAGAUAUUGGGAAGAACACCGGUGGCGAAGGCGGCUCACUGGCUCGUAACUGACGCUCAGGCGCGACAGCGUGGGGAUCAAACAGG